GAAGUCUCCAGGAGAUGAUCCAGUCUACUCUGCAGUGAAGACCUCCAACACCACAGUUCCAGGUGGAUCCGGUCCAGGUGAUGUGAUCUAUGCUGACAUCAACCACACAGAGAAAAGACAACACAACAGGAGGAGAGAGAAGGUCGUUCCAGACCCUGUCUACUCAGCAGUGAAGACAGACAGACAGAGAUACAGGUCAGAAGGUCGUUCCAGACCCUGUCUACUCAG